rnacentral:rRNA from 1 species
UACGGAGGGUGCGAGCGUUAAUCGGAAUGACUGGGCGUAAAGGGCAUGUAGGCGGUUAAUUAAGUUGGGUGUGAAAUCCCUGGGCUCAACCUAGGAAUGGCAUUCAAGACUGGUUAGCUAGAGUACUGUAGAGGAAGGUAGAAUUCCACGUGUAGCGGUGAAAUGCGUAGAGAUGUGGAGGAAUACCGGUGGCGAAGGCGGCCUUCUGGACAGGUACUGACGCUGAGGUGCGAAAGCGUGGGGAGCAAACAGG